UGCGCAGGCGGUUAUAUAAGACAGAUGCGAAAUCCCCGGGCUCAACCUGGGAACUGCAUUUGUGACUGUAUAGCUAGAGUACGGCAGAGGGGGAGUGGAAUUCCGCGUGUAGCAGUGAAAUGCGUAGAUAUGCGGAGGAACACCGAUGGCGAAGGCAAUCCCCUGGGCCUGUACUGACGCUCAUGCACGAAAGCGUGGGGAGCAAACA
rnacentral:rRNA from 1 species